AAAUGUGUUGUCUACCGAUGCAGACAGCUGCAACAGCUGGCCUCACGCGAUAUUUGCUUCUCUCUUCCACUUCGCGGAGCACGCAGUCGUCGCCAGUGCGUCGUAUAUAUAAGGGACGAGGAGACGCCAGAGCUGCAUCAGUCGUCGUGGCAGCCUCCACCAAGUCUCUCUUGCUCCUCUGUCUCGCUCUCGUGGUUGUGACCACGAUGGCGCAGGAACCUGCAGGCGUCCCAGCUGUCCCUAGCGGAGAUGCCGCCAGCAACCAGGAGCCGGUACAGCCGGUGGUGGGCGACGGAGCUGCUGGGGACCAGGC